rnacentral:rRNA from 1 species
UUGAACGCUGGCGGCAGGCUUAACACAUGCAAGUCGGACGUGGAAUCGCCUUCGGGUGAGAGUAGCGUGGCGGACGGGUGAGUAACGCGUGGGUGACCUGCCCUCUGGUGGGGGACAACCCGGGGAAACCCGGGCUAAUACCGCAUACGUCCACGGGCUAUGGUCCGUGGGGAAGGCUGGCCUCUGAUGCAAGCCAGUGCCGGAGGAGGGGUCCGCGUCGGAUUAGCUGGUUGGUGGGGUAACGGCUCACCAAGGCGACGAUCCGUAGCUGGUCUGAGAGGAUGAUCAGCCACACUGGGACUGAGACACGGCCCAAACGCCUACGGGCGGCAGCAGUGGGGAAUCUUGGACAAUGGGGGCAACCCUGAUCCAGCCAUGCCGCGUGGGUGAAGAAGGCCUUCGGGUUGUAAAGCCCUUUCAGCAGGGAAGACGCCGG